rnacentral:rRNA from 1 species
CCUACGGGGGGCAGCAGUGAGGAAUAUUGGUCAAUGGCCGUAAGGCUGAACCAGCCAAGUAGCGUGAGGGAAGACUGCCCUAUGGGUUGUAAACCUCUUUUAUGCGGGGGUAAAGGGGUCCACGUGUGGCUGUUUGCAGGUACCGCAUGAAUAAGGACCGGCUAAUUCCGUGCCAGCAGCCGCGGUAAUACGGAAGGUCCGGGCGUUAUCCGGAUUUAUUGGGUUUAAAGGGAGCGUAGGCGGGUCUUUAAGCCAGCGGUGAAAUUUUGUGGCUCAACCAUGUGAGGGCG